rnacentral:rRNA from 1 species
UGGGGAAUAUUGGACAAUGUGCGCAAGCCUGAUCCAGCCAUGCCGCGUGAGUGAUGAAGGCCCUAGGGUUGUAAAGCUCUUUCACCGGUGAAGAUAAUGACGGUAACCGGAGAAGAAGCCCCGGCUAACUUCGUGCCAGCAGCCGCGGUAAUACGAAGGGGGCUAGCGUUGUUCGGCUUUACUGGGCGUAAAGCGCACGUAGGCGGACUUUUAAGUCAGGAGUGAAAUCACGGGGCUUAACCCCGGAACUGCCUUUGAUACUGGAAGUCUUGAGUAUGGUAGAGGUGAGUAAAAUUCCGAGUGUAGAGGUGAGAUUCGUGGAUAUUCGGAGGAACACCAGUCGCGAAGGCGGCUCACUGGACCAUUACUGACGCUGAGGUGCGAAAGCGUGGGGAGCAAACAGG